rnacentral:rRNA from 1 species
AGGGCGCACGGAGGAUGCCUUGGCACUAGGAGUCGAAGAAGGACGCGACAAACGGCGAAACGCCUCGGGGAGCUGUAAGUGAGCAUUGAUCCGGGGGUAUCCGAAUGGGGAAACCCGCUAGUGGUUAUACGCUAGCACCAUAUGGUGAAUACAUAGCCAUAUAGGAGACAGACCCAGGGAACUGAAACAUCUAAGUACCUGGAGGAAAAGAAAGAAAAAUCGAUUCCCGUAGUAGCGGCGAGCGAAGUGGGAAGAGCCCAAACCGGAUUUAUCCGGGGUUGUAGGACCUUCAUAAUUGACAAAUCAUGAUAGCCGAAUGGUCUGGGAAGGCCAACCGUAGGGGGUGAGAGUCCCGUAGGUGAAAUUGUGAGAUGCAUGGAAGGAAUCCUGAGUACGGCGGGACACGUGGAAUCCCGUCGGAAUCAACGAGGACCAUCUCGUAAGGCUAAAUACUACCUAGUGACCGAUAGUGAACCAGUACCGUGAGGGAAAGGUGAAAAGCACCCCGGAAGGGGAGUGAAAUAGAACCUGAAACCGUGUGCCUACAACAAGUCAAAGCCCGUUAAUGGGUGAUGGCGUGCCUUUUGUAGAAUGAACCGGCGAGUUACGAUAUCGUGCGAGGUUAAGCAGAAGAUGCGGAGCCGUAGCGAAAGCGAGUCUGAAUAGGGCGAAGAGUACGAUGUUGUAGACCCGAAACCGUGUGAGCUAGCCAUGAGCAGGCUGAAGGUCAGGUAACACUGACUGGAGGGCCGAACCAGGGCACGUUGAAAAGUGCUUGGAUGACUUGUGGCUAGGGGUGAAAUUCCAAUCGAACACGGAUAUAGCUGGUUCUCUCCGAAAUAGCUUUAGGGCUAGCCUCGAUGUUAAGUCUACUGGAGGUAGAGCACUGAAUGGGUGAUGGCCCCACCUCGGGGUACUGAUCUCAAUCAAACUCCGAAUGCCAGAUAGAUAUAAUCGGGAGUCAGACUGUGGGUGAUAAGGUCCAUGGUCAAAAGGGAAAGAGCCCAGACCGCCAGCUAAGGCCCCCAAGUGUCCGUUAAGUGGAAAAGGAUGUGGAGAUGCACAGACAACUAGGAGGUUGGCUUAGAAGCAGCCAUCCUUUAAAGAGUGCGUAAUAGCUCACUAGUCGAGUGACUCUGCGCCGAAAAUGUACCGGGGCUAAACGGACCGCCGAAGCUGCGGAUUGACUUUAGAGUCAGUGGUAGGAGAGCGUUCUAACAGCGGUGAAGCAGUACCGGAAGGAGCUGUGGAGCGGUUAGAAGUGAGAAUGCCGGUGUGAGUAGCGAAAGAUAGGUGAGAAUCCUAUCCAUCGAAAGCCUAAGGUUUCCAGGGGAAGGCUCGUCCGCCCUGGGUAAGUCGGGACCUAAGGUGAGGCCGAAAGGCGUAGCCGAUGGACAACAGGUUGAUAUUCCUGUACCACUUAUUAAACUGAUGGAGUGACGGAGAAGGCUAAGUUGAGCGUGUGAUUGGAUUCACGUGUAAGCAGUGAGGUGGUCAUGUAGGCAAAUCCGCAUGGCAUAACAUUGAGCUGUGAUGCCGAAGCCGAAUGGCGAAGUCAACUGACGUCACGCUUCCAAGAAAAGCUUCUAGGGUUAAUUUAAUAAGUGCCCGUACCGAUAACCGACACAGGUAGGCGAGGAGAGAAUCCUAAGAUGAGCGAGAGAACUCUUGUUAAGGAACUCGGCAAAAUGACCCCGUAACUUCGGGAGAAGGGGUGCUUGUGAAAGCAAGCCGCAGUGAAUAGGCCCAGGCGACUGUUUAUCAAAAACACAGGUCUCUGCUAAACCGCAAGGUGAUGUAUAGGGGCUGACGCCUGCCCGGUGCUGGAAGGUUAAGAGGAGAGGUUAGCGCAAGCGAAGCUUUGAAUUGAAGCCCCAGUAAACGGCGGCCGUAACUAUAACGGUCCUAAGGUAGCGAAAUUCCUUGUCGGGUAAGUUCCGACCCGCACGAAAGGCGUAACGAUCUGGGCACUGUCUCAACGAGAGACUCGGUGAAAUUAUAGUACCUGUGAAGAUGCAGGUUACCCGCGACAGGACGGAAAGACCCCGUGGAGCUUUACUGUAGCUUGAUAUUGAGCACUGGUGGCACAUGUACAGGAUAGGUAGGAGACGAAGAAACCAGGACGCCAGUCUUGGUGGAGUCGCUGUUGGGAUACUACCCUUGUGUCACUGGGGUUCUAACCCGUGGCCCUUAUCGGGUCAGGGAACAGUGUCAGGUGGGCAGUUUGACUGGGGCGGUCGCCUCCCAAAGAGUAACGGAGGCGCCCAAAGGUUCCCUCAGAAUGGUUGGAAAUCAUUCGAAGAGUG